AGGGAAUAUUGCAAAAUGGGCGAAAGCCCGAUGCAGCAACGCCGCGUGGGCGAUGAAGGCCUUCGGGUCGUAAAGCCCUUUUUGAGGGGAUGAGGAAGGACAGUACCCUCAGAAUAAGCCUCGGCUAACUACGUGCCAGCAGCCGCGGUAAAACGUAGGAGGCGAGCGUUAUCCGGAUUUACUGGGCGUAAAGCGCGUGCAGGCGGAUUGGAGAGUUGGAUGUGAAAGCUCCCGGCUUAACUGGGAGAGGUCGUUCAAUACUUCCAGUCUGGAGUGCAGUAGAGGGAAGUGGAAUUCCGGGUGUAGUGGUGAAAUGCGUAGAUAUCCGGAGGAACACCAGUGGCGAAAGCGGCUUCCUGGACUGUAACUGACGCUCAGACGCGAAAGUUAGGGUAGCAAACG
rnacentral:rRNA from 1 species